rnacentral:rRNA from 1 species
UACGUAGGGUGCAAGCGUUGUCCGGAAUUAUUGGGCGUAAAGAGCUCGUAGGCGGUCUGUCGCGUCGGAUGUGAAAGCCCGGGGCUUAACCCCGGGUCUGCAUUCGAUACGGGCAGACUAGAGUGUGGUAGGGGAGAUCGGAAUUCCUGGUGUAGCGGUGAAAUGCGCAGAUAUCAGGAGGAACACCGGUGGCGAAGGCGGAUCUCUGGGCAUUACCUGACGCUGAGGAGCGAAAGUGUGGGGAGCGAACAGG